UUGUUUGUGCUUUCUUAAAUACUGAGAAUGAGUCGUAACAUUUUCACAACCUUCACAAGGAUAUUAUUUAAAAGAAUAAAACAUGUAAAAGUAAAGAAAGAAAAUUAAUGUUUUAAAUGUUUAAAGACUUAAUAAUCAUGUGAUAUGUAUCUGUGCCACACCUAAACCGUGUUUUUAAACCCAUAAUAAUUGAGUUUUUAUUCCAGAAUUUACUACUGAAUAAUGUGAAUUUUAUACGAAGUGACGGGUUCUCACCGAACAAUAUAAGGCCGAGGUUGAGUUGGACUUGGAGAGUAUUAUGGGGGAGAUCUUGAUCGAGGACGGGAUGACGUUACUGGUCCGGAGUGCUUCUCUCAACCUUUUGUUCUGCCUUUCCUACCUACCCUGUAACUAAUACUGAUCGAGACUGUUUAACCCGGAGUAUGUGGUUGAUCAAGAAACCUUAGUUUGAACUGUUGGAGAAGGUCAAUCAAUCAACCAAACUAUUUCAAGUAAGAUCAAGUCAACAUUUAGCUCUAUUCAAAAGGUUUACUUUGCAAAUACAGGGAAUUGUUUAGGCUGAAACCUGAGGACGUUGUUCUACUAAAAGCCCGAGAUUAACAGUGGAGUUGUUCCAAACCUGUAUUAAACCUGGAGACGUUGAUGUAUUUCUGCACCCUGCGACUGUGAGUUCUGGAGUCAAAUCUAUCCUAUACUUGAUUGCUGACGGAGACGUUUGAGGCGUCUGUAAAGCAUCAUUAUAUAUAAAAUCUGCUUUAUCGAGACGUGGUUCUCGCUCUUUCAUCUGGAGAAAGGAUUAGAACCUUAUACUUGGAGACGUGGAUCUCCAUAACCUGUAAUCCUUGAUCUCUUGCCCUGAGAAGUUUCCUUGAGACGUGGAGAUCAGUAUUGAAACCAGAACAAAGUAAAUCUUACUCUCGCCCUUGACGAGAGGAUGGAUGUGCUGGAGGCACAGAUACAAUCCAUCAAUUAAACCGAAGUAAGAUUUUUUUUAAUUUCAUUUUCUGAAAUUUGUUGGAUAUUCAAGAGUUGUAUGGAAACUACAGGGUGUUAAUGCAGGAACCUUGCCUGUGCUGGUUCUGUUGGUUGGAGAGGAUUUCGCUUAACUUGUAGCUC